rnacentral:rRNA from 1 species
UACCAGCACCCCGAGUGGUCGGGACGUUUAUUGGGCCUAAAGCAUCCGUAGCCGGUUCUACAAGUCUUCCGUUAAAUCCAACUGCUUAACAGGUGGGCUGCGGAAGAUACUAUAGAGCUAGGAGGCGGGAGAGGCAAGCGGUACUCAAUGGGUAGGGGUAAAAUCCGUUGAUCCAUUGAAGACCACCAGUGGCGAAGGCGGCUUGCCAGAACGCGCUCGACGGUGAGGGAUGAAAGCUGGGGGAGCAAACAGG